GACGAACGCUGGCGGCGUGCUUAACACAUGCAAGUCGAACGGAAAGGCCCUGCUUGCAGGGUACUCGAGUGGCGAACGGGUGAGUAACACGUGGGUGAUCUGCCCUGCACUUCGGGAUAAGCCUGGGAAACUGGGUCUAAUACCGGAUAGGAGCCAUUUUCAGUGUGAUGGUUGGAAAGUUUUUUCGGUGUAGGAUGAGCUCGCGGCCUAUCAGCUUGUUGGUGGGGUAAUGGCCUACCAAGGCGGCGACGGGUAGCCGGCCUGAGAGGGUGGACGGCCACAUUGGGACUGAGAUACGGCCCAGACUCCUACGGGAGGCAGCAGUGGGGAAUAUUGCACAAUGGGCGCAAGCCUGAUGCAGCGACGCCGCGUGGGGGAGGACGGCCUUCGGGUUGUAAACUCCUUUCGCUAGGGACGAAGCUUUUUGUGACGGUACCUAGAUAAGAAGCACCGGCUAACUACGUG
rnacentral:rRNA from 1 species